rnacentral:rRNA from 1 species
AUGGAAAAUCGAAUGUUUUUCAUGACAAUUAAUAUUGGCACGGAGAUGGUGAAUUUAGUUGGCAAGCACGACAAUUUUCCGGCAAAAAAUGAACUGAGACGGAUUUGCCAUACUCGCCAAGUAAACUUGUCAUCUUGGAGCAUGCCUAAAAACCUGAAGUUUGUUGUAUAUCCGGAUACUAAAAUAAAAUCUGAAAUACUAGGGUCUUGCUUCCUCCUUGUUUCCGUAUCGGUCGGCAAUUGGGCCAAAUGGGCUCUACUGCAUCUUGAGCUCAACGGGCCAGCUCUUUUCCCCAGUCCAUCUAUCUUAUCUCACUGA